ensembl:lncRNA
AAAGCCGAGUGAAAGCACCAGCAGACCAAGUCCAUUCAAGAAACCAAGUACCUCAUCUGAGAAAGGAGAAAAUAAUAUUCUCUCUCUUUCUGAUCUUUUCAUACUUCCCUGUUCAUAAGCCUGGCGUAAUAUGAGAUGAAUUUCAAAUGGAGGUUAUAAUAUGAACUCUGCAGCAUGUUACAGCUCAUCUGGCUUUCCCUAACAGGAAGAGUGGCAGGAUGCCCGUGCUGUCCUCUUCCCUGUGGUUUAUUGUCCAAUCAUAUAAGAAAGUUCUGAAGGAGCAACUGGAAUGAGCCUUCAAGCUGACCAUCCGACCUUCUUCCCAUGCAAACCAUGGUCCUCUGCUUCACCAAAGGAACAGCUGCGUUUGGAGCUUCUCUGACUUCACCUGGAGGGCCGCAGGGCACUGGGGCUAUCGACUGGACUCUUCCUCUUGUCCUGGCACAGCUCAUUGGAUACCAGUCCCAGUCCUGCCUUUUUCACCAGGGCUCACCUGAAGGCUGCAGGAAGCUCGCAUCUGUCCACUGGAUUCUUCUUGUGGUGGUGCAGAGGCUCAGAGGACCCAGUCUCAGUCUUUCCCGUUUCCUCAGAGCUUGGGAAAGAAGAGCAGCUUCCUCUGUAGGGUAUGUGGACCUUCCUGGUUUUGCAGUUUGGGGGAUAGCGCUGUGUGAACGUGAGGACUUCUCAGCAGUCGCAAUUCUGCUUAAAAGGCAACUGCGGUAGGUGCAGGCACAAAUACCUCCACCUGUUAUGACUGAUUUUUCAAUGUUGCGUUGUUUAUUUGCAAUAGAACAAUACUCAGGGGCCCCAGAGGAGAUUAUUGUGUAUUACAGUGGUGAAAAUACCUGUCCCAAAGAAUUUGAGAGCUAAAC